AUUGAACGCUGGCGGCAUGCCUAACACAUGCAAGUCGAGCGGAUGAAGGGAGCUUGCUCCUGGAUUCAGCGGCGGACGGGUGAGUAAUGCCUAGGAAUCUGCCUUGUAGUGGGGGAUAACGUCCGGAAACGGGCGCUAAUACCGCAUACGUCCUGAGGGAGAAAGUGGGGGAUCUUCGGACCUCACGCUAUCAGAUGAGCCUAGGUCGGAUUAGCUAGUUGGUGGGGUAAAGGCCUACCAAGGCGACGAUCCGUAACUGGUCUGAGAGGAUGAUCAGCCACACUGGAACUGAGACACGGUCCAGACUCCUACGGGAGGCAGCAGUGGGGAAUAUUGGACAAUGGGCGAAAGCCUGAUCCAGCCAUGCCGCGUGUGUGAAGAAGGUCUUCGGAUUGUAAAGCACUUUAAGUUGGGAGGAAGGGCAGUAAGUUAAUAACUUGCUGUUUUGACGUUACCAACAGAAUAAGCACCGGCUAACUUCGUG
rnacentral:rRNA from 1 species